rnacentral:rRNA from 1 species
GUGGGGAAUAUUGGACAAUGGGCGAAAGCCUGAUCCAGCCAUGCCGCGUGUGUGAAGAAGGUCUUCGGAUUGUAAAGCACUUUAAGUUGGGAGGAAGGGCAGUAAGCUAAUACCUUGCUGUUUUGACGUUACCGACAGAAUAAGCACCGGCUAACUCUGUGCCAGCAGCCGCGGUAAUACAGAGGGUGCAAGCGUUAAUCGGAAUUACUGGGCGUAAAGCGAGCGAAGGUGGUUCGUUAAGUUGGAUGUGAAAGCCGCGGGCUCAACCUGGGAACUGCAUCCAAAACUGGCGAGCUAGAGUACGGUAGAGGGUGGUGGAAUUUCCUGUGUAGCGGUGAAAUGCGUAGAUAUAGGAAGGAACACCAGUGGCGAAGGCGACCACCUGGACUGAUACUGACACUGAGGUGCGAAAGCGUGGGGAGCAAACAGGAUUAGAAACCCCAGUAGUCC